rnacentral:scRNA from 1 species
GUGUCCUGUUUGCCCUCCUCUGACGGUCAGUGACGGUGUGCAGGGUCUCAAACAGAGGACACAGAGAAACCUCUGGCCAUAAAAAGGGGACAAGUCCAAAGAUGAGGACUUUGUCCUAAAGGCAGGGCAGGACAUU